GACGAACCGAGCGAACGUUGUUCGGAAUCACUGGGCUUAAAGGGCGCGUAGGCGGGCGAUCAAGUCGGUGGUGAAAUCCCACAGCUCAACUGUGGAACUGCCUCCGAUACUGGUUGUCUCGAGGAAGGUAGGGGCGUGUGGAACUGUUGGUGGAGCGGUGAAAUGCGUUGAUAUCAACAGGAACUCCGGUGGCGAAGGCGACACGCUGGACCUUAUCUGACGCUGAGGCGCGAAAGCCAGGGGAGCAAACGGG
rnacentral:rRNA from 1 species